rnacentral:rRNA from 1 species
UACGAAGGGGGCUAGCGUUGCUCGGAAUCACUGGGCGUAAAGCGCACGUAGGCGGCUUUUUAAGUCAGGGGUGAAAUCCUGGAGCUCAACUCCAGAACUGCCUUUGAUACUGAGAAGCUCGAGUCCGGGAGAGGUGAGUGGAACUGCGAGUGUAGAGGUGAAAUUCGUAGAUAUUCGCAAGAACACCAGUGGCGAAGGCGGCUCACUGGCCCGGUACUGACGCUGAGGAGCGAAAGCGUGGGGAGCAAACAGG